UGCCUAGUGGGCGGUAAGCAGAACUGGCUCUGUGGGAUGGAUCGAAUUUGGCUAACCAAGUUUAUUCUCCUGGUGUUGUGGGUAACUGAGAAAAGGCUCUGGAUAGGGCUCUGACUUUGUUGGUAGUCAGUGGAGAUGAGGGAGCUUUGCCUUACACAUGGUUGGCACUUGAUAAUGUUUGACUGAGUGAAUGAAAGACAGUCUCAAGUCUCAUCAAGCAGAGGCUAUAAAGGAAUUAGAAAUU
rnacentral:lncRNA from 1 species